rnacentral:lncRNA from 12 species
CCACAGGGACUCACGAAAGCACUUCAGCUCCACAACAAAGGAGUGAUUUCACUGACUUCAUGACACAUGGCCUCUAGGAUUCUGUGACCAUUCCCAACUGGAGAAUAUAUUAAAUAAAGGAGCACUUGCUUUUUUUUUUGCCAGUUUUAUAAAGAAAAUUUAUUUAUUUUUAAAAAUAGAAAUGGAACCCAAAAUUAGUCUAAAAUGAAUGCAUGCACACAAAAUUGAAAAUACAGAUGUGAACCAAAUCCAAAUAACAGUAUCAUUUUUAUGCUGUUGAAACAGCAUAUUUUGAUGGCUACCUCAUAAGGAAUUUCAUAUUCUGGGGGAAAAGUGAAAUGUUUGAGACCCCCCCUUUUAUCCUCUUAAUACCAAAAGGUAAGAUUUAAUCUUGUUUCCAGACUUCAGGGGAAGUUAUAUGAGUGAUACUUUCUUAAAUUCUCAGAGAAAACAAAUCUAAAAUAUUUAAAAUGACUUUUCAAAAUGUAUAUAUUAACAGUUUUCUCUGAAGAUCAAUGGGCUAAAUUGAGAUCGAUCUUUCCUAAAGAAGAUUUAAUUUUUAUUUGUCGGGUACAACUUCUAUAUGGAAGUUUAAAACUAUUAAUUGUAACUGCUGCUUUCUAGUUAAUCAUCAAUUCAGUUCCUAUUAAUAAUGCAAACUUUUACACACAGAGCUAGCCAUGAUAUUCUGCUUGCCUGGAGGAACCACAUAUUAAAAGGACGGCAGAGAAUUCAUCACCCUCAUUACUUCUUGGAAGGGAGCAGAACAUGGGAGGAAACGGAUAAGCCAGCAGGUUUGUUGACUUAUUUCUAACAGUCUUGGAGAUGAUGGGAAGAUUGAAGAAGAAAAUAUGGCCAUAAAGGUGGGUAAGGAUUUCUCCAAGACAAACAAAAUAUCUCUAGGCUAUGAAUGAAGGAUGGGGGUUGGGGGGGGACUUGCUUCCAGAGCACGAAACUAGGAAGGUAGAAUCCCAGUGAAAGAAUAAUUAUAUGGUGUGUUGGGGUCAACAGGGUCAUACACAACCCCACAAAAAUUUCCAUACUCAAAGUGCCUCAUGAAACAGCAGAAUUCCAGUGCUCCUGGGUAACGUGUAAGCAAGAGACAAUGUUUAUAUCUGAAUGAACCAUGAUGCAUUAGGCAUGUAUUGCUGUAUAGAAAGUUACUUCUCUAACCUUAGCGGGCUAAAAUAACAACAGUUAUCUCACAUAGCAGUGGUUUAGCUGGGUGCUUCUGGCUCAGGAUCUCCCCAUGAGGUUGUAGUCAAAAUAUCAGCCAUGCCUGCAGUCAUCUGAAGACCUGACUAGGG